GGGACUUCAGGAAAACUCUGCCAGCCGGCCGGACCGCACUCGGCCGGGAGCCAGGAGGAGACGAAGCCCAGACCCGUCGGCCGCGAGCCGGGAAGACCGGUCGUUCUAGAGCGCAGGGCCCCUUCGGCCUGAAGGCCGCCGCGUCGCCUGCUGCUCCCUGCUCGUGAGCUCAGCCUCUCUUGGGUGCCUCAGGGCUCGGUGGCACCUCAGAGCCCCGAGGCUCUGCGGGCGCUAGAGCGGCGCCGAGCAGGAGGGGAGAUUGUUUACUUAUCUGCGGGAAACAUAUGUCGGGAGAAGUUCACAUUCCGGAUUCUGCUCCGCUGCCCAAGGAUCUGAAAUAAUCUCUCGGGGAAAACCCAUCCUUCGAAAGUGUUUGAGAACCAAGGCGGCGCCCCUGCUCUGUUUUCUGCACCUCAUCCCCGGACUUCUGCGCCGUUUGCAGCUCUCUUUCAUUUUGGAUACCCGCAUAGACACGAGCCCACUUCUGCCCUCUUGC